AUCGGGCUGUCGAUUCUUGCGGUGCCACAUGAAGUCGAACAAGCCUGUUGUGUAAGGCAGUGAGAGGAUUUGAUUUAUGUUUUCUACGUUGCAACGAGUAAAAACGCGUGAAAUAAGUUAAAACUCCCUCGUUGCAGAAGUCUUGAAUGCGGUGCGGAUGUGGCAGAGAGUGAAGUUUAAAGUUGCGGAAACGGACGGCAAGCGCUUCAAAAACAACAGCCACCUGAGACCGGCACGGAUUUUACACGGCCACACAAUCAUCCAGAGGGAAGCCUGAAAUGCAGCCAUUAUCGAGGACGAUAUAUUACCUGCAGUGUUGCCGUGACCCAUGAUGCUAUUCAGAAGCCUUAAAGAAAUGAGCCGGUUCUGAGUGUCAAGACACAUUUACAUUUGAGCCAUUUUCUGGACUUCUGGCCGGAUGGAGAAUCUCUAUGACGAGGUGACAACUUAUCAUAUUCACAUUCUCCAGGUGCCUCCGCCUGUCAACAGAAGAUUCAAAUGCUCGUGAUUGGCAGGCUGACAUUUUUACAAUCUCAGUAUGCAAAGUGAGGCCCUCGCUGACGAUGUGACUCCUGAAGCAGAAAGCGAAGCUUGUCGGGAGUCACCCGCACCUUCUGAGAUUACAGACGCAGCCUAACCUCCUGAACCUGGACACCGCACACCGAGGAAUACAGUCACAUUACACAAACGUCUCACGCCCGCGCUCCCGCAGAGACCGGGGCUUAAUGGAGACCUCGCUUAUGAAGAAACACGCGUUUGGUCUCGGGUCUUAAAGUUGAGGAGGACUGUGAGGAACGCUGAAGAGCUUAUGAGAGAUUUGCCACAAUAAGCCACAGAGAGACACAUUAUUGGAAAGUAGAAAAUACAGUGUUUUUAUAAUGUUUUGGACUGGGCAUCCUAUGCUUCUGUUAAAGUAACACUGUUUCAAAUAUUACAGUGAUUUUAUUUGUAAGGGUUGUGGU